rnacentral:rRNA from 1 species
CAGGCCUAACACAUGCAAGUCGAGCGGUAGCACGGGAGAGCUUGCUCUCUGGGUGACGAGCGGCGGACGGGUGAGUAAUGUCUGGGAAACUGCCUGAUGGAGGGGGAUAACUACUGGAAACGGUAGCUAAUACCGCAUAACCUCGCAAGAGCAAAGUGGGGGACCUUCGGGCCUCACGCCAUCGGAUGUGCCCAGAUGGGAUUAGCUAGUAGGUGGGGUAAUGGCUCACCUAGGCGACGAUCCCUAGCUGGUCUGAGAGGAUGACCAGCCACACUGGAACUGAGACACGGUCCAGACUCCUACGGGAGGCAGCAGUGGGGAAUAUUGCACAAUGGGCGCAAGCCUGAUGCAGCCAUGCCGCGUGUGUGAAAGAAGGCCUUCGGGUUGUAAAGCACUUUCAGCGAGGAGGAAGGCGUUAAGGUUAAUAACCUUGGCGAUUGACGUUACUCG